AGAGGGGAGAAGGUGAUUAUUGAAUUUAUUGCAUUAAACUUUAAUGCAAUAAAUUCAAUAAUCACCUUCUCCCCUCU
rnacentral:pre_miRNA from 1 species